rnacentral:rRNA from 1 species
CCUACGGGAGGCAGCAGUGGGGAAUAUUGCACAAUGGGGGAAACCCUGAUGCAGCGACGCCGCGUGAGUGAAGAAGUAUCUCGGUACGUAAAGCUCUAUUAGUAGGGAAGAAAAUGACGGUACCUGACUAAGAAGCCCUGGCUAACUACGUGCCAGCAGCCGCGGUAAUACGCAGGGGGCCAGCGUUAUCCGGAUUUACUGGGUGUAAAGGGAGCGUAGGCGGGAGCACAAGUCCGGAGUGAAAUCCCGGGGCUUAACCUCGGAACUGCUUUGGAAACUGUGCGGCUGGAGUGCAGGAGGGGUAAGCGGAAUUCGUGGUGUAGCGGUGAAAUGCGUAGAUAUUAGGAAGAACACCGAUGGCGAAGGCAGCUUACUGGACUGUAACUGACGUUGAGGCUCGAAAGCGUGGGGAGCAAACAGGAUUAGAUACCCCAGUAGUC